UGUUCUGAGCUGUGCUUGAGCCUCUAGUUAUGAACAGCCCAUGGGCGAUUUGAUACAGCGGAAGUAGAACCACUUCAAGUUUUGCUGCAGCUGUGUUAUCUGUAUCUCCUGUAUCUGGCUGUGGAAAACCUUUGCAGCAAGCCCUCAAAACUGCAUUUGGUUUACGCGUAUUGAAUUGAGAGUACCUUCUUCACCGUUCUCCCCGGUGUAGCUGACGUCAGUUAAGCAGGAAGUUGAGUUCAGCGUGCUUAUUUUCAUCGUAGUGCAGCUUUUAAAUCUAGCUGUUUGUGUGUGCUGGGGCUCCCUCCUUAGUUUCAGUGAAUCUGAAAGUUACAGAAUGUUAUCCUGGGCAGCCAGCAGUAUCUGCUAAUUCUGUAAGGCCCUCAAGUUGUUCAGCGAGGGCCUGGUGCCACCAGGCUGUGCCAUGGUGAUGGCUUCCCUUGCGCUAACUAGCCACUGUGGACGUAAUCCAGCAGCGAGGGUGCUGCUUCUCUGGGCUGUAGCCAGAAUACCCUAAAAUUCCCACUCGCCAGUUGCUAGCGCGGGGUAGUUUUGCACCUCCAGGAGAAGCGCCUCAAGGCAGCAGCCCUCGCUAACUGUGACAAUGGUGCCUUUGUGGUGCUGGCAGAGGAGCCGAGUCUCUCGGACCAGAGGGCAAGAAACCCCCGUCCUCAUUGACCGCUGGCAUAAGGGGGGACUGCGAUCCAGCUGGAACGCACCAGCAUGCUGCUCGAUCCUAGAUUUGUAUCGAGUGGAAUAUUGGGCAAGGAUAGUGCUGUCAGCUCUGACCACUCCAGUGGGAGAACGAUGGUUUGGAGAGGCUCAUAAUGAAUUCAGCAGUCAUCCCUCUGCUCAUCUCUUCUCCUGAUGUAUUUUGCAUUUUUCUCCCCCACCAGCAAGCAGGGGAACAAUGCUUCGACUCGCUGACGGCCAGUGAACAUGAGAAAGCAGAACGGCGGCUGCCAGUUGAUAGGGAUCACUUUAAGGCUGGAAUGUACGGCUUGGGGAGGCGUUGUUUGUCUGCGAAAAGAUGUCGGAUGAUUUGGUUCUGACAUGAGAAGCUGGGAAUUGCACACUGUUUCCCACUCACAGAUGGGGAGGUGUAAUUGUCUGGGGGGUGCCUGGUGGAGUUAGCAACAGGUUAAAAACAGGGCCUGACUGUCACGUGCAGCCCCCUGCUAAAUGGGCCUGCUAAAUAAAUCAAAGUGACCUGAGAGUCAGAAAGGCUGAGUAAGAUCUUGAAUUCACGUGUUGUGAUGCUUUCUCCUGGAAUAAGUAUUUCAUAUUAAGUUGGAGCAUUAUUAAAAGCAUUGGAGGAUUGACAUGCAGAAGUAGUAUAACUUUCAUCGUGCCUUUGAAAAUAUCUUUAUAAGCUUCUCUUCAUGUCUUCCCCUUGUUUCCAGAUCUUUGAUAUAGUAUUU